rnacentral:ncRNA from 1 species
GAAUGGGAAUGGCAUGGAAAGGCCAGCCGCAGAGGGUGAAAGCCCCGUACUGGUAAACUGCUUACAUUGUGUGACUGAUCCCGAGUAGCACGGAACACGAGGAAUUCUGUGUGAAUCAGCGAGGACCAUAUCUCGUAAGGCUAAAUACUCUUACUAACCGAUAGCGCAUAGUACCGUGAGGGAAAGGUGAAAAGAACCCCGGGAGGGGAGUGAAAUAGAACCUGAAAUCAUGUGCUUACAAGCGGUCAGAGCCCUU